rnacentral:misc_RNA from 1 species
GAAAUGCGAUACUUGGUGUGAAUUGCAGAAUCCCGUGAACCAUCGAGUCUUUGAACGCAAGUUGCGCCCGAAGCCAUUAGGCCGAGGGCACGCCUGCCUGGGUGUCACACAUCGUUUCCCCAACGCAAACAUGUAACAAUGUUGCUGCGCGGGGUGUAUGCUGACCUCCCGCGCCUCACCGGGCGUGGCUGGCCUAAAAAAGGAGCCUCAGGUUAUGCACUGUGCGGCAAUUGGUGGUGGACAAGGCCUUGGCCUCGAAUGCAAUCUCGUGUCGUGCAGUACAUGGCAAUUGUGGGCUCGUAGGACCCUGAGUUGUUCCCAAUUGGAAACAAACCGUUGCGACCCCAGGUCAGGCGGGGCUACCCGCUGAGUUUAA